rnacentral:rRNA from 1 species
AUGCGUGUUCCGAAAGAAAGAGGAGGUAUGGGAUUCAGAGACUUGCACUGUUUUAAUAUGGCACUCCUGGCUAAGCCGUGUUGGAGACUAUUGGUUGAACCAGAAUCACUUUGUGCCAGAGUCUUCAAAGUUAAAUACUUCCCAAAUGGUGAUCUUCUUAAUUGCACACUUAAGAAGGGUAGUUCCUACACAUGGCAGAGCCUUUGGAGCGGUAUUCAAACUUUUAGGAGAGGGCACAUAUGGGGAGUAGGGGAUGGUGCCCAAAUAAACACAUGGGAGAAUCCAUGGAUUCCUAGUAGUGCUACACGCAGAGUAAUGACACCGAGAGGUAAUAUUGUUUUAACACAUGUCUCUGAGCUGAUAGAUGAAGAUAAUAGAGUUUGGGAUGAGCAGUUGCUUAAUGAGUUAUUUUGA